rnacentral:rRNA from 1 species
ACCUAAUAGAUACCCUGGUAGUCCACGCCCUAAACGAUGCGAACUGGAUGUUGGGUACAUUACGGUACUCAGUGUCGAAAGCUAAACGCGUUAAGUUCGCCGCCUGGGGAGUACGGUCGCAAGACUGAAACUCAAAGGAAUUGACGGGGCCCGGCACAAGCGGUGGAGUAUGUGGUUUAAUUCGAUGCAACGCGAAGAACCUUACCUGGCCUUGUACAUCUGUCGAAUCCUGCAGAGAUGCGGGAGUGCCGCAAGGAACGACAAGACAGGUGCUGCAUGGCUGUCGUCAGCUCGUGUCGUGAGAUGUUGGGUUAAGUUCCGCAACG